GCGCCCAUAGCUCAGAUGGAUAGAGUGACGGACUACGAAUCCGCAGGUCGCAAGUUCGAAUCUUGCUGGGCGCACCA
rnacentral:tRNA from 1 species